CAACAGCAGCACCUCUUCAAGAAGCUGCAGAGUGUGAAGCAACCGGAGAGAAGCAGUGGGGGGCACUGUACUCACCAGGCCCACUUACCUGGGUAUGAGGACCAAGUCUGGACCUGGAGAUGCACAAGGGCAGCAGCUAGGUGGAGGAGAUCUGAGGUAACAGGAUGGCUCUCUGCAAGGAUUCCCAUCAGGAACUUAAGGAUCCAGCAAGGAGAGCUGAAAACUACCUUCUUAGGAGAGGUCCUGGAGGUUUUCUGGAUAUUGGAGGCCCCAAACCCAAUCAGAUUCCAAGUGCCAGACUACUAAAAUGCAGAUGAUGGAGCCUGUCGGUUCCCUGUGCACACCAUGACUUGGAGCCUUCAGCAACUUUUCCAGUGUUCUGCAUAUUAUAAUCGA